UAGCCUAUCACCCACUUCCUUCCAUUUGAGAGAAUGCAGCGACGCGACGGAGCCUGGUUAGAAGAAUCUCUCUGAAGUGCAGUUGAAGGAUGUUGGUGAAAGUUAAAUACCAGGCAGACCAGAUACAUUAAAAUGGUGGAAACUGAUGCCACUCUAGAGGAUUUCUUUAACCAAGUGUUCAUGAAAUUUGAUAUUGAAGCCAAACACCAAGCUGGGCUAAAAUGUAUGAUGAGUUUGGUACAGAAGAUUGACAACUAUGUGUCUGAAGAUGUGGUGAAGGAUCCAAAUUGUGGUGUAUUAAAGCUGAAGCCUGCAGAAGAUGAUGUGUUUAAAAAUCUCAGCCAUCAAAGACUACAUGACAUACAGCCGUCACAGGUACUGGACAUGACUAUAUUACUGAU